GUAAAGCAUCGUGUUCAGACAUACAUCCAACCUUAACUCUUGACCCUGUCUUUGUUUCAGGGAAAGGAAAACUCCGUGCCUGUACCCACAGCUACCAGUGUUGGCUCAGCGAAGUCGCUGCUCUGCUACAGUGAGUCAGGAGGACCACUCAAGAAAAAUCACAUCAUCUCUGUAGGCUGAGGAAAAACAUGCCCAACUUGAAAGGGUGAGGACCUAGUAGUGUCCUUAAAAGAUCAUGUCCACCCCAUACCCCAGCUUUUCCUGCCUCUGAGGAACAAGAAAGAAUGCCUUGGAAUCUAAGGUCAAUCUAAACCCACUGCAAAAGUUGCUGCAUACAAAAUGUUCCAUCUUCAGUAGAGGCUCAUCAUCUUUCCUGCUUAUUGCUGCUGUGGUUUGCUGGCACUGGAACUGAUCCCUGAUCAUUCAUUUGUUACUGAGAUGUGCUAAUCACAACUGUGGC